rnacentral:rRNA from 1 species
GAGGAAAAGAAAUCAACCGAGAUUCCCCCAGUAGCGGCGAGCGAACGGGGAGGAGCCCAGAGCCUGAAUCAGUGUGUGUGUUAGUGGAAGCGUCUGGAAAGGCGCGCGAUACAGGGUGACAGCCCCGUACACAAAAAUGCACAUGCUGUGAGCUCGAUGAGUAGGGCGGGACACGUGGUAUCCUGUCUGAAUAUGGGGGGACCAUCCUCCAAGGCUAAAUACUCCUGACUGACCGAUAGUGAACCAGUACCGUGAGGGAAAGGCGAAAAGAACCCCGGCGAGGGGAGUGAAAAAGAACCUGAAACCGUGUACGUACAAGCAGUGGGAGCACGCUUAGGCGUGUGACUGCGUACCUUUUGUAUAAUGGGUCAGCGACUUAUAUUCUGUAGCAAGGUUAACCGAAUAGGGGAGCCGAAGGGAAACCGAGUCUUAACUGGGCGUUAAGUUGCAGGGUAUAGACCCGAAACCCGGUGAUCUAGCCAUGGGCAGGUUGAAGGUUGGGUAACACUAACUGGAGGACCGAACCGACUAAUGUUGAAAAAUUAGCGGAUGACUUGUGGCUGGGGGUGAAAGGCCAAUCAAACCGGGAGAUAGCUGGUUCUCCCCGAAAGCUAUUUAGGUAGCGCCUCGUGAAUUCAUCUCCGGGGGUAGAGCACUGUUUCGGCAAGGGGGUCAUCCCGACUUACCAACCCGAUGCAAACUGCGAAUACCGGAGAAUGUUAUCACGGGAGACACACGGCGGGUGCUAACGUCCGUCGUGAAGAGGGAAACAACCCAGACCGCCAGCUAAGGUCCCAAAGUCAUGGUUAAGUGGGAAACGAUGUGGGAAGGCCCAGACAGCCAGGAUGUUGGCUUAGAAGCAGCCAUCAUUUAAAGAAAGCGUAAUAGCUCACUGGUCGAGUCGGCCUGCGCGGAAGAUGUAACGGGGCUAAACCAUG